rnacentral:lncRNA from 1 species
UCUCUGAACUGCGCGCCACCUUUUGAGUGCCAUCUGUUUCCGUCCAGGACUCUGAUACAACUAUCCAGUCCGCUGCAGGGACCGGUCACUGUGUCACACAUUCUGUACACAGACACAGCGAUAAAAUGAAAUGACUGGAACUUAAAUGUGAAAACUCUUUACAAGUAAGCCCACAAUUAGAUACAUUUAUCUUACAUGUCAGGAAAAAAAAAAUUAUGAAAACAGGACAAAUUAUAUCACAAAAGAAC